GAUCUCCGGUUCCCAGUGCGGAAGUGAGAGGCGAGCUCCAGCUCCCCGGAGUCGGUGCCUUUUAAGCUGGCUAGCCGUGUUCUUCGCUGGUCCGCGGAAGUCUGGCUCGGCUGCUGGAGGGGAGCUGGGCCUGCGGAGGCCCGGGCGUGGGGUUGGGCGUCUGCCUACGGAGCUCCCGCGGAGCCCCUGCAGGGUUGCAGGCAUAGGGCGGAAGAAGAGGCCUUGCAGAGAGAGAUGCCGUUUGCGACACUUGCUUUCCAGCCCCCUCCAGUCAGUCCCGGGCUCCACCUGCACUGAGUUUUCCAAGGUCACUAACUUUCCUUUGUUGCAGAGUCCAACUUUUUAAGCCCUAAUCUUUCCAGGCUUUCUCCAGCUGUCAGCGUUCUUUUCAAAUGUAAAUCUGAUCUACCUUCUCUAAAACCCUUCUGUGGCUCCUACGGCUCUGCAGGGAGACUGAGACAAUUGGUUGCAGACUCCCAGUGUCUUCCCAGUGCCCACUGGGAGCUUUCUUUUCUCUGAUGAACCUGUGAACCGUGCUCUUCCCUGACGGGGGCUUUUGCACGCAUUCCUUCAGUCACUAUUUAAUUUUACUUACCAUUUGUGAGACUUUUGUUUGGUGUUGGAGUUAACAACAGCCAAUAGAGCAGUCAAGGGCUGGUGAGAAUCCAGGGAAGGACGUUUGCAACCAAGUCUGAUGAUUGAAGCAGGAUGGAAGGGAUGAACUGACUCCCAGGCACAGAUGUAAACAAACAAACAAACAAACAAAUAAAUAAAUAAAAGAAAAAACAGGCAAGAGCUUUAUCGUUAUGGACCUUUCUAUCAAAAGUGUUUGAUUUUUUAGAAUGUUCUUCCUUUUAUUUCUGUAAACAUCUCUCUCUCUCUCUCUCUCUCUCUCUCUAGGUUAGAGGACUUGGUCUGGUUUCUCCUUUCACCAUGUGGGUUCAGGGAUCACCAUCAAGCUUGGCAGGAAGGCUUUUACCAGCUGAACCGUGCUGAGGCCCCAUGUCCUUUGAUUUUGUUUUGUUUUGUUGUGUUGAGACAAGGUUUCUCUGUGUAGCACGUUGUAGCUCUGUAAACCAGGCUGGCCUCAAACUCAGAUUUGCCUUCCUCUGUUUCCCAGUGUUAGGAUUAAAGUCAUGUACCACCAAGCCAAGCUGGUUUGUUU
rnacentral:lncRNA from 1 species